UACAGAGGGUGCAAGCGUUGUUCGGAAUUAUUGGGCGUAAAGCGCGUGUAGGCGGCUUUGCAAGUCGGGUGUGAAAGCCCUCAGCUCAACUGAGGAAGUGCGCCCGAAACUGCAGAGCUUGAGUGCCGGAGAGGGUGGCGGAAUUCCCCAAGUAGAGGUGAAAUUCGUAGAUAUUGGGAAGAACACCGGUGGCGAAAGCGGCUCACUGGCUCGUAACUGACGCUCAGGCGCGACAGCGUGGGGAUCAAACAGG
rnacentral:rRNA from 1 species